rnacentral:misc_RNA from 1 species
UUUCCGUAGGUGAACCUGCGGAAGGAUCAUUAUUGUAUAACCGAGGUGCGAGGGCUGUCGCUGACCCGAAAGGUCGUGCACGCCCGAGUGCCCUCACACACAUCCAUCUCACCCCUAUGUGCACCACCGCGUGGGUCCCCCUUUGGCUUGUUCGGAGGGGGGCUUACGUUUUCACACAAACUUUGUAUGCAGUGUAGAAUGUAUUUUUUGUUUUUGCGAUCACGCAAUCAAUACAACUUUCAACAAUGGAUCUCUAGGCUCUU